AUUAAGUUUGAUUUUGGUUUUUGUUGUAUUAAGAUAGUAUUACCUAUUUUUGGUUUAUUUAGUAUGAUAAUUUUUGUUCAUCGGUAGUUUAUUGAUUGUUUAAUUAGUGUUCCAGAAUAAUCGGCUAUGCAUUUUAAUUUUUAACUCUAAUUUUUGUAAUGUCUUUUUUUUUUUUGUAUUUUUUAUUUUUUGUUUUUUGUAAAAUAUUUCAAUUUUUUUUGAUUUAUAAAAGAUGUUAAAAAUUUGGUUUUUGAACUGGAUUAGUACCCAGGUAAUCAAAAUUUAUUAAUUCGGGAGUAAAGUUGUAUUUAAACCGUAAAAAUAUUGGCUGACUUUAAAUUUUUCUUUGGAAUAUGUGAUUGGAGAGCCCUCCUUUUUGGUAGAUUUUUUUGGUACAUGUAUGAUUGUUUAGUUUUUAUUUUAUUUUGUAAUGCUUUUUUUUUAGUAAAAAACAGAUAUAUACUUGGCUUAUGAAUCUAUUUUUCAUGUAUUACUAUUAUUAAUUUUUUUUGGAUAAUAUUUUAAUUUUUAUUUGAAAUUGGAAAAGAAAGUAAUUUUUUUUUAAUGUGAUAAUGAAUUUAAUGAUUAAAGUGGUACAAACCAUCCGUCAAUGGCCUAGAGGGGCGUAAGUUGUAGUAUGGUAGAAGUAAGGAAACUUGUUUCUAAUUUUUUUU
rnacentral:ncRNA from 1 species